GACCUCAAAUCAGGUAGGACUACCCGCUGAACUUAAGCAUAUCAAUAAGCGGAGGAAAAGAAACUAACAAGGAUUCCCCUAGUAACUGCGAGUGAAGCGGGAAAAGCUCAAAUUUAAAAUCUGGCGGUCUUUGGCUGUCCGAGUUGUAAUCUAGAGAAGUGUUAUCCGCGCUGGACCGUGUACAAGUCUCCUGGAAUGGAGCGUCAUAGAGGGUGAGAAUCCCGUCUUUGACACGGACUGCCAGGGCUUUGUGAUGCGCUCUCAAAGAGUCGAGUUGUUUGGGAAUGCAGCUCAAAAUGGGUGGUAAAUUCCAUCUAAAGCUAAAUAUUGGCGAGAGACCGAUAGCGAACAAGUACCGUGAGGGAAAGAUGAAAAGAACUUUGGAAAGAGAGUUAAACAGUACGUGAAAUUGCUGAAAGGGAAACGCUUGAAGUCAGUCGCGUUGGCCGGGGAUCAACCUUGCUUUUGCUGGGCGUACUUUCCGGUCGACGGGUCAGCAUCAAUUUUGACCGUUGGAUAAAGGCUGAGGGAAUGUGGCUCCUUCGGGAGUGUUAUAGCCCUUGGUCGCAUACAACGAUUGGGAUUGAGGAACUCAGCACGCCGCAAGGCCGGGUACUUGUACCACGUUCGUGCUUAGGAUGCUGGCAUAAUGGCUUUAAUCGACCCGUCUUGAAACACGGACCAAGGAGUCUAACAUGCCUGCGAGUGUUUGGGUGGAAAACCCGAGCGCGUAAUGAAAGUGAAAGUUGAGAUCCCUGUCGCGGGGAGCAUCGACGCCCGGACCAGACCUUUUGUGACGGAUCCGCGGUAGAGCAUGUAUGUUGGGACCCGAAAGAUGGUGAACUAUGCCUGAAUAGGGUGAAGCCAGAGGAAACUCUGGUGGAGGCUCGUAGCGAUUCUGACGUGCAAAUCGAUCGUCAAAUUUGGGUAUAGGGGCGAAAGACUAAUCGAACCAUCUAGUAGCUGGUUCCU
rnacentral:rRNA from 1 species